GGCGGCGUGCCUAUACUGCAAGUCGAGCGAACAAAGGGAGCUUGCUCCCUGAGGUUAGCGGCGGACGGGUGAGUAACACGUGGGUAACCUGCCUGUAAGAUUGGGAUAACUCCGGGAAACCGGAGCUAAUACCGGAUAACAUUUUGAACCGCAUGGUUCAAAAUUGAAAGAUGGCUUCGGCUAUCACUUACAGAUGGACCCGCGGCGCAUUAGCUAGUUGGUGAGGUAACGGCUCACCAAGGCGACGAUGCGUAGCCGACCUGAGAGGGUGAUCGGCCACACUGGGACUGAGACACGGCCCAGACUCCUACGGGAGGCAGCAGUAGGGAAUCUUCCGCAAUGGACGAAAGUCUGACGGAGCAACGCCGCGUGAACGAUGAAGGCCUUCGGGUCGUAAAGUUCUGUUGUUAGGGAAGAACAAGUACCAGAGUAACUGCUGGUACCUUGACGGUACCUAACCAGAAAGCCACGGCUAACUACGUGCCAGCAGCCGCGGUAAUACGUAGGUGGCAAGCGUUGUCCGGAAUUAUUGGGCGUAAAGCGCGCGCAGGCGGUUUCUUAAGUCUGAUGUGAAAGCCCACGGCUCAACCGUGGAGGGUCAUUGGAAACUGGGGAACUUGAGUGCAGAAGAGGAGAGU
rnacentral:rRNA from 1 species